AUUGAACGCUGGCGGCAGGCCUAACACAUGCAAGUCGAACGAGUGGCGGACGGGUGAGUAAGGUCUGGGAAAAUGCCUGAUGGAGGGGGAUAACUACUGGAAACGGUAGCUAAUACCGCAUACCAUCAGAUGUGCCAAGAUGGGAUUAGCUAGUUGGUGGGGUAACGGCUAAACAAGGCGACGAUCCCUAGCUGGUCUGAGAGGAUGACCAGCAACGCUGGAACUGAGACACGUUCCAGACUCCUACGGUGGGCAGCAUUGGGGAAUAUUGCACAAUGGGCGCAAGCCUGAUGCAGCCAUGCCGCGUGUAUGAAGAAGGCCUUCGGGUUGUAAAGUACUUUCAGCGGGGAGUCGUUACCCGCAGAAGAAGCCCCGGCUAACUCCGUGCCAGCCGCCGCGGUAAUAC
rnacentral:rRNA from 1 species